AGGGGUGUAGCUCAGUGGUAGAGCACUUGCCCAACAUGCAUGAAGCCCUGGGUUCAAUCCCCAGAACUGCAA
rnacentral:tRNA from 1 species